GUUGUUUUAGUUUAGUGGUAAGAAUUCCACGUUGUGGCCAUGGAGACUUGGGCUCGAAUCUUAGAAACCACA
rnacentral:tRNA from 1 species